CAUGUGAAUUUUUAGCUGUGUAUAGUUAACAUUUUAUAAAAAGUUUGGUUCAUACCACAUGUCCAGAAUUAGAAGUGAAGUGAGACAUUGUGAUAAUUGUAUACCUUGCAUAAGGAUAGAAUCAAGGAGUUACUUGUGCCUGUGAUCAGGUAUAGGUCUUAUAUCUUUGAGGUGUGGACAUCAGUAUCCUCCUUGGUAGCUGUUUUGACAAAGACACGACCAUAUUGUUACACACAGUCACCCUGCUGUGGAGUAGAAUACUAGAAUGUAUUCCUCUCCUUUAACUCUCUGCAUACCUAUUGCCAGUCCUUGCCCAUGUCCUCUCCUCUACCCAGCCUGUGGUGACCACUACUGUAUUUUCACCUUCAGUGAGUUAAAUUUUUCAGCCCCACAUAAUUGAGAACAUGCAGGGUUGAUUUUUCUCUUAUUUCUGCUUUUCUGAUUUGAUUGAACAUAGUAUCUUGCAGGUGCAGCCGUGUUGUGGGAAAUGAAAAAUGCCCUGAAUUUUGAUGGCUGAAAAGUAUUCCAUUGUGCCUGUGUCCUGGAAAUUCUUUAUCCCUUCAUCUGUGGAUGGACAGGUUUCUCCAAGUGGUUGCAGAUGACAUGAUUUCCUGAAGUGUUACAGCUGAUGUGUGUUUCCUUGUGUAUAUAUACUGUGGUUCCUUUAUCCCUUCAUCUGUGGAUAGACAGGUGCAACCGUGUGGUUCCCC